UACGUAGGUGGCAAGCGUUAUCCGGAAUUAUUGGGCGUAAAGAGCGCGCAGGUGGUUGAUUAAGUCUGAUGUGAAAGCCCACGGCUUAACCGUGGAGGGUCAUUGGAAACUGGUCGACUUGAGUGCAGAAGAGGGAAGUGGAAUUCCAUGUGUAGCGGUGAAAUGCGUAGAGAUAUGGAGGAACACCAGUGGCGAAGGCGGCUUCCUGGUCCGUAACUGACACUGAGGCGCGAAAGCGUGGGGAGCAAACAGGAUUAGAUACU
rnacentral:rRNA from 1 species